GCAGUCAGUUGAUUGGUGGAUGACGUGCUAUUGCAAACUGCAUAGUACCAGUGAAUUUCAUGUCAGUUUAUGGGGUUUCCACUGCACAAGUCACUGGAAGAGCCUGCUUGAGAAAGAAGACAGUGCUUCUCCACUCUUCACUUCAUUAUACCUGAAAAAAAGUGAUGCUCCAGUGAAAUGAAGACUAUAUAAAACACAGGGAUAUCAUUUUGUACUGGUGUUCUCCAAAGGUGAUGUCUUACCUUCAGAGAUAUAGAGCCAUUUGGUGUGAGGAGUCCUGGAAGCAGUCCUUUAUAAUUAACAUAAAGGCAAGUCCCGUGUUGUGCCUUCUGUAUGU
rnacentral:lncRNA from 1 species